rnacentral:rRNA from 1 species
GACGAACGCUGGCGGCGUGCUUAACACAUGCAAGUCGAACGAAGUGGCGAAUGGGUGAGUAACGCGUAAUCAACCUGCCCUUCAGGGGGGGACAACAGUUGGAAACGACUGCUAAUACCGCAUACUGAAGGAGGGGAUUGCGUCGGAUUAGCUAGGUGGAGGGGUGACGGCCCACCAAGGCGAUGAUCAGUAGCCGGGCUGAGGGGAUGAACGGCCAACAUGGGACUGAGACACGGCCCAGACUCCUACGGGAUGCAGCAGUGGGGAAUCUUCCGCAAUGGAGGAAAGUCUGACGGAGCAACGCCGCGUGAUUUAUGACGGGCUUCGGGUUGUAAAGCUCUGUUAAUCGGGACGCGGUACCGGAAUAGAAAGCCACGGCUAACUACGUGCCAGCAGCCGCGGUAAUUC